UACAGAGGGUGCAAGCGUUAAUCGGAAUCACUGGGCGUAAAGGGCGCGUAGGCGGGAUGGCAAGUCGGUCGUGAAAUCCUUCGGCUCAACCGAAGAACGUCGGCCGAUACUGCCGUUCUUGAGGGAUGCAGAGGAGAUUGGAAUUCCCGGUGUAGCGGUGAAAUGUGUAGAGAUCGGGAGGAACACCGGUGGCGAAGGCGGGUCUCUGGGCAAUUCCUGACGCUGAGGCGCGAAAGCGUGGGGAGCAAACGGG
rnacentral:rRNA from 1 species